UACGGAGGGUGCAAGCGUUAUUCGGAAUCACUGGGCGUAAAGCGCGCGUAGGCGGUUUUUUAAGUCAGAUGUGAAAGGCCGGGGCUCAACCCCGGAAGUGCAUUUGAAACUGCAAGACUUGAGUAUGGGAGAGGUAAGUGGAAUUCCUGGUGUAGAGGUGAAAUUCGUAGAUAUCAGGAAGAACACCGGUGGCGAAGGCGACUUCCUGGACCAAGACUGACGCUGAGGCGCGAAGGCGUGGGUAGCAAACAGG
rnacentral:rRNA from 1 species